rnacentral:rRNA from 1 species
UACGUAGGGGGCAAGCGUUAUCCGGAUUUACUGGGCGUAAAGGGUGCGUAGGUGGUUUCUUAAGUCAGAGGUGAAAGGCUACGGCUCAACCGUAGUAAGCCUUUGAAACUGGGAAACUUGAGUGCAGGAGAGGAGAGUGGAAUUCCUAGUGUAGCGGUGAAAUGCGUAGAUAUCAGGAGGAACAUCGGUGGCGUAAGCGCUUUACUGGGCCGUAAUUGACACUGAGGAACGAAAGCCGGGGUAGCAAAUGGG